UUUCCAUGAUGAUAACUUGUCCAGUUCUGCUACUGAUUGCAAGUGGUGAUAACAGACACCUGAGAAA